rnacentral:rRNA from 1 species
UGGGGAAUUUUGGACAAUGGGCGAAAGCCUGAUCCAGCAAUGCCGCGUGUGUGAAGAAGGCCUUCGGGUUGUAAAGCACUUUUGUCCGGAAAGAAAUCCUUGGCUCUAAUACAGUCGGGGGAUGACGGUACCGGAAGAGUAAGCACCGGCUAACUACGUGCCAGCAGCCGCGGUAAUACGUAGGGUGCAAGCGUUAAUCGGAAUUACUGGGCGUAAAGCGUGCGCAGGCGGUUUGCUAAGACCGAUGUGAAAUCCCCGGGCUCAACCUGGGAACUGCAUUGGUGACUGGCAGGCUAGAGUAUGGCAGAGGGGGGUAGAAUUCCACGUGUAGCAGUGAAAUGCGUAGAGAUGUGGAGGAAUACCGAUGGCGAAGGCAGCCCCCUGGGCCAAUACUGACGCUCAUGCACGAAAGCGUGGGGAGCAAACAGGAUUAGAUACCCUGGUAGUCCACGCCCUAAACGAUGUCAACUAGUUGUUGGGGAUUCAUUUCCUUAGUAACGUAGCUAACGCGUGAAGUUGACCGCCUGGGGAGUACGGUCGCAAGAUUAAAACUCAAAGGAAUUGACGGGGGUCAUAGCUGUUUCCUG